GAUGAUAAUAAUGAGUUUUGCAUGGUGCUUUAUAUGUAUUAUCUUUACAUCACAAGAACUUUGUGAGGUAGAUGGUAUUAUUAGCAGUAUUUGACAGAUGAAGAAACCGAGGUUAAGGGACUUGCCCCAGGUCACAAAGCAAAUGGAAUGUCUGGGGUGAGAUUCGAACUCAAGGCUUUCUGACUCUAGGUCUAACACUUCAUAUAAUUCACUACCCAGCUGCCUAGAAUUUCAUCCACCUUUGUUUCUAUAAUCCUUCUCUUCUCUCCUUUUAGAUAUUGGCCACAUGGAGAAAACCUGUGAGACUGGGUGCAAAUGGAAUAUGUAUGAAAAGGAAUUCUAUUGCAUGAGUAAAUUUGAAAUGAAUGGAAUCGUCUGUGAUUAAGAAGUGCUUGGUGAAGGCAAUGAGCUGGUCUCUCUGCUGGUCAACAGUCACGGGCUGUACAAGACACACUGCCUCUAUGUCACCCCAGAUGACUUCUUCCGAGUUCACGAGCUGGUAUUGGAUUCUUCCAGCUGCAAUAAGCCAUAUGCAGACUUAAAAAUUGUUCUUUUUUAGGCAGCAGGUAAUGGGUCACAUCUACCACAAGAGAAGGCAGCUCUCCACAGCUCUGCUGCAGGUGUUACAAGGACGUCUAAGGCCUGGAGAUGGAUUGCUCAGGAGCAGUAGCAGUUACGUGAAAAGAUUUAACCGCAAAAGAGAUGAGAAAAUCCAAAGGGCAGCUCAUACCAAGUGCAUCUGAAUCCCCUUCCAGAGCUUUUUGGAGACCUUGGCUCUGCUGGGAUUCAGUGACUUGAAGAGCAUCUGCCUUCAUUCAGCCUAGCCUUUCACUAGACUGGGCCCCCAGUGCUUCCUUGGGAACCCUUUGAGCUCAGCCCUCAUAAGCCAAUCAAGGAUUCCUUCCAGCCCUGCUAAUACUGAGGAUGUUGUUGGUUCUGAAUAAAUGCUUCUAAAUUUUUCUAAGUCCAAUUGCAGGUAUUCAAAUAUAGUACAAAGCUGUGAUUCAUAGAUCUGUGAUAAUUGGCCUGUUUGAUCCACA